rnacentral:rRNA from 1 species
CUACUGAAUCAAUUAAAAUAAUUGAUAACAUAAGGGAAAAUAAUGAUAUUACCUUAUUAUUAGUGUCGUCCAAAUCUGGUGCCAGAAGACUCGGUAAGGCCAGAGACACAAACGUUAAUCGUCUUAAUCAGGCGUAAAGGGUUUGUAGGCGGCUUUAAAAUUUACUUAUAAAAAAAUAAAUAAGUAAAGAAUAAAAGCUAGAAUCAAAUAGAGGAUAUAUGAAAGAAUGCUUAGAGUAGGUCUGAUAUCCUUAGAUACUAAGUAGAAUAUUAAAGGCGAAAGCUUUUUUCCAUUAAUGAUUGACGCUCAGAAACGAAGGUGAGGAUAGGAAAUAGGAUUAGAUACCCAGAAUACCCCUCUCUGUCAACGAUGAAUGGUAGUUAUUAGUACAAAUUAUUAAUGGCAAUGUUAACACGAUAACCAUUCCGCCUUGUGAGUACAACUGCAAAGUUGAAAACAAAAAAAUUAGUCGGUUUCGGAGCAAACGAAGUGAAGCAUGUUAUUUAAUUCGAAUAAUCCGCAAC